UGGGGUGUGGCUCAGUGGUAGAGUGCUUGUCUCCCAUAUGUGAGGCACUGGGUUUGAUCCUCAGCACCACAU
rfam:Ictidomys tridecemlineatus contig039595, whole genome shotgun sequence.